CCCAGCUUGAAUCCCCUCUUUUAGCCCACUGAAGUCCUUCUGGGGUACUGCGGUGUUCCUGGGCCCAGCCUGGAUCCCCUUGUCCCCCUGAAGUUCUUCGGGGUGUUCCUGGGCCGUACUUGGACCCCCGAUGGUUCCCUGGAGUCCUCCUGGGUUGCCUCCCCCAAGAACUGGAAUAUUCCUAGGCCCAGCCUGGAUUUGCCUCCGUUCAGCCUCCUGAAAUCAUUCUGAGCCUCAGCCUAGACCCCUUCCCAGUCCCGGAGGUCCCCUUGAGACCCAGGAUGUUUUGAUGGCUCAGUUGGCAACUGACUAGCAACAUUGUAUCCACAACCAAUCCAGGAGGAAACCUCAAUUAACCUAGUCCAGGGUCUUCCUAGGGUCAGCCUUGGGUCAGAAGAAGGUCAGGACCCUCUUCUCUAAGAAGCCUGUUCCGUCCAUAGUGAGUCAUCGGAUCUGAGGACCAACAGCCACCUGAGUCUCCUUCCCUCACCAGGCAAGGGACUGAUCCUAAAACAGGCCAAGAAGGACUGUGCAGGCUCAGAUGCUGCAUCAGGACCAGGCCAUCUGCACACCACUUGAAACCUGUGUGGCCUCUUGCCUGCUCAGGCCUUGGGAUCCAAGCCCUAUUUUCCAAGUUCACUUGAAAACGACUUAGGCCAUAUACCACAGGGCGAGCUGCCUACCUGUAAAAGCUUCUGUUCUGGGCAGGAUCUCCUGUUCUAGGGCAGUAACAGACAGGAAACUAGCUCAGAAAGGAUUUCUUGGACCCUUUUGGCCUAUGUUUUGAUCUUCUAAGCCUGUGAUCCCACCUGGUCCUCCUCCAACAUUCAGGACAAAGAGGUAGGUAGAAACACUUUCUGUACAUCCUGAGGACCUGAGUUCAAAUCCUGGAACCCACCAACCGGAGGAAGAAGAGAAACAACUCCACAAAGCCACCCACCCUCUGACUUCUAUUUACUUUACAAUGAUGUUAGCCCCCCCCCCAUACAAAAAUAAUAAAAAUGGUGGUUUUGGUUUGA